AAAAACAGAGUGAAGGGUUGUCAAAAAUUUAGCAAUAAACGGGAUGUGUUUGGACUGAAAAAGAUUUUAUAAAGUAUUAUUUAAUGACUUCAAUUCUUUAGAAUGUCAUUCAGGUUAUUUGUGAAUAUAGCAACACAUAAUGUUUACCAAUAGGAUUCAUAUAAACAUGCGAAGGUAAGUAUUGUUAUAUGUUAUGAAUUAGACUAGAUUAUAGUAAAAACAUGAUUCUUGGAAAAUGUCACUACUAAUGUAUUUGCAUUAUAUUGAUUUAAGCAGAAUAGAGAAGACAAAGCAGCUGCACAGGCUGCCGCCCAAGCUGCUGAAGCCGAAGCUGCUUGUGAUACUGCAACAGCAAUGAAGAAGUCAAAGAAGUGGAAUAUGCCACAGAAGCCUGAUUUAAGAAGUUGCUUGGAUAGGAAUCCCACGUAAAUAAAAAUCAAGUCAGUGUUUGGUUAAGAACCUCAAUUUGAAAAUGCUACAUUUUCUCAUAUCUAGACAAAUUUAGACUUUGAUUUAGUAAAAUAUUGCUACAUAAUCUAAUAACUAG
rnacentral:lncRNA from 1 species